rnacentral:rRNA from 1 species
AACGAACGUUGGCGGCGUGGAUUAGGCAUGCAAGUCGGGGGAAUCCCAGCAAUGGGGGAACCGGCGUAAGGGGCAGUAAUGUGUGGGUACCUACCUUUGGGUUCGGGAUAGCCAUCAGAG